rnacentral:rRNA from 1 species
CCUACGGGAGGCAGCAGUGGGGAAUCUUGCACAAUGGAGGAAACUCUGAUGCAGCGAUGCCGCGUGAGUGAAGAAGGCCUUUGGGUUGUAAAGCUCUUUUGUAGGGGAAGAUAAUGACUGUACCCUAAGAAUAAGGUCCGGCUAACUUCGUGCCAGCAGCCGCGGUAAUACGAAGGGACCUAGCGUAGUUCGGAAUUACUGGGCGUAAAGCGCGCGUAGGCCGUUGAGUUAGUUAAUUGUGAAAUCCCAAAGCUUAACUUUGGAACUGCAAUUAAAACUGCUCGACUAGAGUUUGAUAGAGGAAAGCGGAAUACAUAGUGUAGAGGUGAAAUUCGUAGAUAUUAUGUAGAACACCAGUUGCGAAGGCGGCUUUCUGGAUCAACACUGACGCUGAGGCGCGAAAGUAUGGGUAGCAAAGAGGAUUAGAUACCCUCGUAGUCCAUACCAUGAACGAUGAUUGCUAGAUGUUGGAAAUUUAUUUUCAGUAUCGCAGCUAACGCAUUAAGCAAUCCGCCUGGGGAGUACGACCGCAAGGUUAAAACUCAAAGGAAUUGACGG